ACGUGCCCAAUUCCGGGAAAUACCCCGCCGAAAGGUGGGUUAAUGUCCCAUAGUCUCGCAAGAGUAAAGCUCCGGCGGAAUUGGAUCGGCCUUGCACCUAUCAGCUUGUUGGCGGGGUAAAUGCCCACCAAGGCUUCGACGGGUAGCUGGUCUGAGAGGAUGGUCAGCCACAUGGGGACUGAGACACGGCCCUAACACCUACGGGUGGCAGCAGUUGGGAAUAUUGCGCAAUGGAGGAAACUCUGACGCAGCGACGCCGCGUGAAGGAAGAAGGCUUUCGGGUUGUAAACUUCUUUUAUAGGGGACGAUUGUGACGGUACCCUAUGAAUAAGGGCCUGCUAACUACGUGCCAGCAGCAGCGGUAAUACGUAGGGCCCGAGCGUUAUCCGGAUUUAUUGGGCGUAAAGAGUAUGUAGGUGGUUUGGUAAGU
rnacentral:rRNA from 1 species